UCAGCUUCAUCCAGGGCCCCGCGGCCUCCCGUCCCCAGCCUGAUCACCACUGGGGUCCAGCUCGGCCCUGCCAGGCCAUGCAGGCUGCGGUGGAGUGGGACCAGCCCCAACAAAGCUGAGUUACUUUUCCAGUCCAGAAGCAAGAGAGAGAUCUCCCAGGGUGCCAUGAGUCAAUAUUGCAGGAUGGAGCAGGAAACACAGGGAGAGAAUUAUUCACAAGGAGGUACUAGAUACAGGAUCAAACUGAUGAAAUACCCCUGAAUGAGUCAUUCAACACAACCUUUGUUGUCAACAGGGAGAAAUAAUCACCUUGGAGCACAGUUCAUGUCACCCUAAAGUGGAGACUCAUGGUAUAUAAUAUUAAUUGCUCUUUUAAGGUUUUUUUCUUUCUCCAUAUACAGUAUGUAAAAAACCUAUGAUGACAAGCACAGAUGUCUGCAUUAUAAGCAUCUAAAAGUAGCAUAUUCACUUUCUAUCUCGAAUACCUUCAGAAAGAUGAUGAGCUUUUGCAACUCCAGCUGAAUAUGUAGAAGCCAAGGAGAUCAAAACUUUCUGAUCAGUGGGAUUAGACACCGUCUUAAAAACAU